GCAUAACGCGAAGAACCUUACCUAGACUUGACAUCUCCUGAAUUACUCGUAAUGGAGGAAGCCCUUCGGGGCAGGAAGACAGGUGGUGCAUGGUUGUCGUCAGCUCGUGUCGUGAGAUGUUGGGUUAAGUCCCGCAACGAGCGCAACCCUUGUUGUUAGUUGCUACCAUUAAGUUGAGCACUCUAACGAGACUGCCGCGGUUAACGCGGAGGAAGGUGGGGAUGACGUCAAAUCAUCAUGCCCCUUAUGUCUAGGGCUACACACGUGCUACAAUGGCCGGUACAGAAAGAUGCAAACCCGUGAGGGGGAGCUAAACUCAAAAGCCGGUCCCAGUUCGGAUUGUAGGCUGAAACUCGCCUACAUGAAGUUGGAGUUGCUAGUAAUCGCGAAUCAGCAUGUCGCGGUGAAUACGUUCCCGGG
rnacentral:rRNA from 1 species